rnacentral:rRNA from 1 species
AUGAAGUCGGAAUUGCUAGUAAUCGCGGAUCAGCAUGCCGCGGUGAAUACGUUCCCGGGCCUUGUACACACCGCCCGUCACACCAUGGGAGCCGGUAAUACCCGAAGUCAGUAGUCCAACCACGUGAGGACGCUGCCGAAGGUAGGAUUGGCGACUGGGGUGAAGUCGUAACAAGGUAGC